rnacentral:miRNA from 1 species
CAGGGCCGGGCGGCCGGG